CAAAGAUGGCUGGCCCCUCUGGGUA
rnacentral:piRNA from 1 species